rnacentral:rRNA from 1 species
UACAGAGGGGGCAAGCGUUGUUCGGAAUUACUGGGCGUAAAGGGCGCGUAGGCGGCCUGCUAAGUCGAACGUGAAAUCCCUGGGCUCAACCCAGGAACUGCGUCCGAUACUGGUUGGCUUGAAUCCGGGAGAGGGAUGUGGAAUUCCAGGUGUAGCGGUGAAAUGCGUAGAUAUCUGGAGGAACACCGGUGGCGAAGGCGACAUCCUGGGCCGGUAUUGACGCUGAGGUGCGAAAGCGUGGGGAGCAAACAGG